rnacentral:rRNA from 1 species
CCUACGGUGGGCAGCAGUGAGGAAUAUUGGUCAAUGGACGAGAGUCUGAACCAGCCAAGUAGCGUGAAGGAUGACUGCCCUCUGGGUUGUAAACUUCUUUUAUAUGGGAAUAAAAUGUUCCACGUGUGGGAUUUUGUAUGUACCAUAUGAAUAAGGAUCGGCUAACUCCGUGCCAGCAGCCGCGGUAAUACGGAGGAUCCGAGCGUUAUCCGGAUUUAUGGGGUUUAAAGGGAGCGUAGGUGGAUGGUUAAGUUAGUUGUGAAGGUUUGCGGCUCAACCGUAAAAUUGCAGUUGAAACUGGCAGUCUUGAGUACAGUAGAGGUGAGCGGAAGUCGUGGUGUAGCGGUGAAAUGCUUAGAUAUCACGAAGAACUCCGAUUGCGAAGGCAGCUCACUGGACUGCAACUGACACUGAGGCUCGAAAGUGUGGGUAUCAAACAGGAUUAGAUACCCGGGUAGUC